rnacentral:rRNA from 1 species
CAAGGAACUAAGAGUUUAUGGGGGAUACCUUGGCAUUCAGAAGCGAUGAAGGACGUGGUUACCGACGAUACGCUUCGGGGAGCUGGAAACAAGCUAUGAUCCGGAGGUCUCCGAAUGAGGCAACUUUUUAACUACUUAUUGAAUUCAUAGAUAAGAAAGAGCGAACCUAGAGAAUUGAAACAUCUUAGUACCUAGAGGAAAAGAAAGUAAAAACGAUUCCCUGAGUAGCGGCGAGCGAAACGGGAUUAGCCUAAACUUAAUUAUAAAUUAAGGGUAGUGGGACAAUAACAAAAAAUUUAAUGGAACAAUUAGAGGAAUAAGUUUGGAAUACUUAACCAUAGGGAGUGAUAGUCUCGUACUCGAAAAUUGAACCAAUUUAAUUGUAUCCCAAGUAGCAUGGAGCACGUGAAAUUCCGUGUGAAUCUGCGAGGACCACCUCGUAAGGCUAAAUAUUCCUGAAUGACCGAUAGUGAAACAGUACCGUGAGGGAAAGGUGAAAAGAACCCCGGGAGGGGAGUGAAAAGAACAUGAAACCAUAAACUUACAAGCAGUAGGAGGACGACUAAAACGUCUGACUGCGUGCCUGUUGAAGAAUGAGCCGGCGACUUAUAGGUAGUGGCAGGUUAAGGUAGUGAAUACCGAAGCCACAGUGAAAGCGAGCCUGAAUAGGGCGUUUGUCACUAGUUAUAGACCCGAACCCGGAUGAUCUAACCAUGGGCAGGUUGAAGCUUGGGUAAUACUAAGUGGAGGACCGAACCGACUGAUGUUGAAAAAUCAGCGGAUGACUUGUGGUUAGGGGUGAAAUGCCAAUCGAAUUCGGAGCUAGCUGGUUCUCCCCGAAAUGCGUUUUGGCGCAGCGGUAGAUGUUAUAGUUUAGGGGUAAAGCACUGUUACGUAUGCGGGCUGGUAAUUCGGUACCAAAUCGUUGCAAACUAAGAAUACUAAAUGUAUAGUCUACCAGUAAGACUGUGGGGGAUAAGCUCCAUUGUCAAGAGGGAAACAGCCCAGAGCACCAGUUAAGGCCCUUAAAUAAUUACUAAGUGGUAAAGGAGGUGGGAGUGCAUAAACAAUCAGGAGGUUUGCUUAGAAGCAGCAAUCCUUUAAAGAGUGCGUAAUAGCUCACUGAUCGAGUAAACCUGCGCCGAAAAUGUAUGGGACUAAGUAAUUUGCCGAAACUGUGCGAUAUAUAUUUAUAUAUCGGUAGGGGAGCGUUCUGUUGUAGGUCGAAGUAUUAGCGUAAGCGGAUAUGGACGAAGCAGAAGUGAGAAUGUCGGCUUGAGUAACGAAAAUAUAGGUGGGAAUCCUAUACCCCGAAAACCCAAGGUUUCCUCCGGAAGGCUCGUCCGCGGAGGGUAAGUCAGGACCUAAGGCGAGGCUGAAAAGCGUAGUCGAUGGACAACGGGUUAAUAUUCCCGUACCGUUUUUUAUUGAUAUCGAGGGACGGAGAAGGCUAAGCUAGCCGGAUAUUGGUUUUACCGGUUUAAGCGUUCAAGAUGUUGAGAAGCGGCGAAAACGCUUUGAGUUGAGACGUGAGUACGAGACGCUAAGGCGUCGAAGUAGUGGAUGUCAUACUUCCAAGAAAAGCUUGCACUGUCAUAAAUAAAAAACGCCUGUACCAUAACCGACACAGGUGGGUAGGUAGAGUAUACUAAGGGGCGCGAGAUAACUCUCUCUAAGGAACUCGGCAAAAUGACUCCGUAACUUCGGGAGAAGGAGUGCCUUAUUCGUAAGGCUGCAAUAACAAGAUCCAAGCAACUGUUUAUCAAAAACACAGGUCUCCGCUAAGUCGUAAGACGAUGUAUGGGGGCUGACGCCUGCCCAGUGCCAGAAGGUUAAAGAAGUCGGUUAGCAUUAGCGAAGCUGGUAACUGAAGCCCUGGUGAACGGCGGCCGUAACGAUAACGGUCCUAAGGUAGCGAAAUUCCUUGUCGGGUAAGUUCCGACCCGCACGAAAGGCGUAAUGAUUUGG